rnacentral:tRNA from 1 species
UAAAAAUUAGUUAAAUCUUAUAACAUGAGCUUGUCAAGCUUAAAUUAUCAGAAACUGAUAUUUUUAA